rnacentral:rRNA from 1 species
UCGCCUGUUUAUCAAAAACAUCGCUAAAAGUAGUUGAUUUUUAGUAGUACCUGCCCAGUGCGUAUUAUCUUGUUAACGGCCGCCUUAGCGUGAGGGUGCUAAGGUAGCGAAAUUCCUUGCCUUUUAAUUGUAGGCCAGCAUGAAUGGUUUGACGAGGGCCUCACUGUCUCUUAGUUCUAUGUUGAAAUUGUAGUGUAGGUGAAGAUACCUUCAUAAAAAAGUAAGACAAAAAGACCCCGUGCAACUUUGAAAAUUAAGCUAGAUUAAAUGGCAAAAGAUUUUUAGGUGGGGCGCCAAAAGAGGAAACUAUAACCUCUGCUGUUUAAGCUAAUUCUUACUGGAGUUGACCUGACUUAAGUCGAUCAAAGGAGAAGUUACGCCGGGGAUAACAGGCCAAUUCUUUAGUAAAGCUCGUAUUAACUAAAGGGCUUGGCACCUCGAUGUUGAAUCAGGGAUUAUAGCUUCAAGGCGUAGAUGCUUUGAUUAGUAGGUCUGUUCGACCUUUGAAACCCUACGUGAUCUGAUCCAGACCGGA